AUAAUUAUAUAUGAACAGGCGAUAAAUAUUAAUUUAUGCAGCCGGGCUUACUUAAAAGCAGUGGAAAAAAACCAUGGGACAAUU
rnacentral:ncRNA from 2 species